rnacentral:lncRNA from 10 species
CUGUGCAGGCACAAUCUUAGGUGUGGAGGAUACAAUACAACUCUUUGUAAUAGUUAAUUUUAUGCAUCAACUUGACUGGAUCACAGUGUGCCCAGAUAUUUGAUCAAACAUUAUUCUGAGUGUUUCCGUGACAAUGUUUUUGGAUACAAUCAACAUUUAUUUAAUUGGUUGAAGACCUGAAUAGAACAAAGAGUUCAAUUCUCUCAAGUAAGAGAAUUCCUCCUGUCUGACUACUUCAGAAUUGGGACAUUGGCUUUUUCCUGCCUCUACACUACAACUACACCAUCAAGCCUUCAGACAUGGAAAGGAACCACACUAUUGGCUCUCCUCGGUCUUCAGCUUGCCAACUCAAUGCAGA